AUCCUUCAGUUAACAAGUGUGGGAUGAUUGGGUGUUUAUGCCUUACGCAUGAGAUGUGUCUCCCUCAAACCUUGUUACAGCGUGGGCACAUUACACGUCUGAUG